GUGAGAGCUAUCCAUUAGGUCUCAACUCAUUCUGCCUUCUUCUUGCCAAAUUUCCAUAUCUGCUUAUCCUGCAACUUUUCUUUUUCCUUUUGCUAAAAGUACUUGGUCAAGGACUCAAAAGUGCUUCUGAGACUUUUAACCUCCCAGUUAUGAAGAGGAGUCGAGGUUCAUCUGAUAACAUGUCUGCUGCACAAAUCAUUGGCAGCAUUGGAAGUAUUCUAAGCCUAAUUCUUAUUCAUUUGCCUAGAAAGUCUCCAUUAACAUUCAAGUCUGUAUGCAAAAAUUGGAAUGAAGUGAUGUCAGAUCCCUACUUUAUUCAUGUUCAAGUCUGGCUUCUUCAUUUUGUAAUUCCUAUGAUGAUAAAAUCAGUUUUGUUUUUUUACCCAAAAGAGAAAGAAAACCUACUUUGGCUUCUGUUUCUUUUCUUGGGAAGGGCUUCGGAAUUUUACAAUCAUGUAACGGCCUGCUACUCUGUCAUUUUAGUGGAGUCUGUUGUGUUAGCAAUCCCACAAUUGGAAAAUUAAAGAUUAUUCCAUCUGUUAAGGUGGAUGGUGGAUUUUCCUGGAUUAUUCCAUCAACUCUUGCUUUUGAUCCCUCACUAUCGCCUCAUUAUAGGAUUGUUUGUUUCAAGAAAGAAACAACUGAAAGUAAUUCCUAUUUUCGGGUAUUUAUGUAUUUAUCUGAGACGGGUACGUGGUACUGUACCACUAGUACUUUUGAAGUGAAUGUGUGUCCUGAUAUGUCUGCAAGGAUCUUGUCGAAUGGUGUUGUUCAUUGGGUUUGUCAUGAACAGUACAUUCAUUUCGAUAUCAAUGAGGGGAAGAUGAUGUUAAUGACAUUGCCAUUUAUUUAUGGAGUUCAUAAAUAUUCAUGGCAAAUUGGUCGUCUUUGGCAAUGGGAUGGCACUGUCUAUUUUGCCCAAGAAAAUGACGUGAGUUGGAAUUUGGAUGAGCUAGAUCAGGUAACUUUUUAGUGGACUGAACAAAGGUAUGCCACUGCUGCUCAUCGUCUUUUUAAAGACGUGCUUCGUGAAAUUAUAAAGAAAGAAGGUGCAGAGCAAGCCAGAAGAUAUGAUAGAACAGAGUGCAAGUUCUCGGUAAUUGCUGUUGUCAAAGGAGACGAGGAACAGGACACUGUGAUACUGGCAGCCGUUUUUGGCAGAAUUAUUUCAUAUAUUUGGCACGAAGAGAGGUUAAAUUUAUACUAAACCUGGUAUUGCCAGAUGAUAUCUCGGGAGAUAUUUGCUGUAAUUGCCUUAGUGCUCAUUAGUUCAUAGAAACAUUGUCUACUGUUUGACUGUAGCUUCUUGUUUUCUAUAGUUUAGAUGUUAGCAUGAAACUUAUCAUGGAAUCUUAGUAGCUCAGUUUGUUGGCUAUUGAAACUUUCACCUUGUUGGUGAGGUUUGAUUCCCCACCUUGUAAUAUUAGCAUGAAACAUACCAUGCUUAUAAUGUUCUCUUAAGAAGAACGAUGUCUUGAUAUCUGUUGCUUAUAUGUAUGUGGAUGCUAUUUAAGAAUAUAUGAAUGAAGAUAAUAAGGGAGAACUGAACAAA